rnacentral:rRNA from 1 species
GAUGAACGCUGACAGAAUGCUUAACACAUGCAAGUCGAUGGGGAAGUGGUGCUUGCACCAUGGCAACCAUGGCGGACGGGUGAGUAACGCGUAAGGGACUUACCUGCAGGACUGGGAUAACAGGGGGAAACUCCUGACAAGACCGGAUAAUGUCAUGGAGCUGCAUGGCUUUAUGAUGAAAGGAGACGCCUGCGGAGAGCCUUGCGUCCUAUUAGCUAGUUGGUGAGGUAAUGGCUCACCAAGGCGAAGAUAGGUAGCCGGCCUGAGAGGGUGGACGGCCACAAGGGGACUGAGAUACGGCCCUUACUCCUACGGGAGGCAGCAGUGGGGAAUAUUGGACAAUGGGGGCAACCCUGAUCCAGCAAUUCUGUGUGCACGAAGAAGGUUUUCGGAUUGUAAAGUGCUUUCAGCAGGGAAGAAGUAAGUGACGGUACCUGCAGAAGAAGCGA